rnacentral:misc_RNA from 1 species
CCGUCAUCCGUGCCAAUCCUGGACCCAUGGAUCUUGUUCCUCUCGUAGGUCUCUCCGAGCAUCUUUAUCUUUAUGUAGAUCGGGAGAUUCCCGGUCAACACGCAAAGUGCCGCGUGGGAGACGGUACGGUAUGCCGUCGUUGUUAUGCACAGGGCCGUUGGUUGUGCUCGUUUCAGCUUUUUCCUGUUCCUAUCGGUAUUCGCUGCUUUAGCCCACACCGGUGCUCCGUAGGUUACGAUGGACUCCCACACAUUGUAGUAGAGCCUGCGAGCCAGGCUGGGCGGCCCAUUGAUGUUGGGUAGGAUUCCUUUAAGGGCUCCUAUUAACUUGUCGGCUCUGUUACACACCAUCUCGAUAUGCGCACCGAACCUCCGA